rnacentral:rRNA from 1 species
UGGGGAAUUUUGGACAAUGGGGGCAACCCUGAUCCAGCCAUGCCGCGUGAGUGAAGAAGGCCUUCGGGUUGUAAAGCUCUUUCGGCGGGGAAGAAAUGGCAACGGCUAAUAUCCGUUGUUGAUGACGGUACCCGCAUAAGAAGCACCGGCUAACUACGUGCCAGCAGCCGCGGUAAUACGUAGGGUGCGAGCGUUAAUCGGAAUUACUGGGCGUAAAGCGUGCGCAGGCGGUUUCGUAAGACAGACGUGAAAUCCCCGGGCUCAACCUGGGAACUGCGUUUGUGACUGCGAGGCUAGAGUACGGCAGAGGGGGGUAGAAUUCCACGUGUAGCAGUGAAAUGCGUAGAGAUGUGGAGGAAGACCGAUGGCGAAGGCAGCCCCCUGGGUUAGUACUGACGCUCAUGCACGAAAGCGUGGGGAGCAAACA